GAUGAACGCUGGCGGCGUGCCUAAUACAUGCAAGUCGAGCGAACAGACGAGGAGCUUGCUCCUCUGACGUUAGCGGCGGACGGGUGAGUAACACGUGGAUAACCUACCUAUAAGACUGGGAUAACUUCGGGAAACCGGAGCUAAGACCGGAUAAUAUAUUGAACCGCAUGGUUCAAUAGUGAAAGACGGUUUUGCUGUCACUUAUAGAUGGAUCCGCGCCGCAUUAGCUAGUUGGUAAGGUAACGGCUUACCACGGCGACGAUGCGUAGCCGACCUGAGAGGGUGAUCGGCCACACUGGAACUGAGACACGGUCCAGACUCCUACGGGAGGCAGCAGUAGGGAAUCUUCCGCAAUGGGCGAAAGCCUGACGGAGCAACGCCGCGUGGGUGAUGAAGGUCUUCGGAUCGUAAAGCUCUGUUAUUAGGGAAGAACAAAUGUGUAAGUAACUAUGCACGUCUUGACGGUACCUAAUCAGAAAGCCACGGCUAACUACGUG
rnacentral:rRNA from 1 species